rnacentral:rRNA from 1 species
UACGGAGGGUGCGAGCGUUGUCCGGAUUUAUUGGGUUUAAAGGGUGCGUAGGUGGCUUUUUAAGUCAGUGGUGAAAUACAGCCGCUCAACGGUUGAGGUGCCAUUGAUACUGAAGAGCUUGAAACAAGUGGAGGCUGCCGGAAUGGAUGGUGUAGCGGUGAAAUGCAUAGAUAUCAUCCAGAACACCGAUUGCGAAGGCAGGUGGCUACGUUUGAUUUUUGACACUGAGCACGAAAGCAUGGGGAGCAAACAGG